AUUUAAAAAAAUUGUGUGCUUUUAUUUUGGAAAUAAAAGUACUUGAUUUUGAUACUUUAAUUAAAGUAUUUCUUUACUAAACAUGUAAGUUUUUAUGUGUAUUUUGCUUUUAUUAAAUAUAAAAGUAAACUAAACUUAGUUUUCAGUUUUAAAAAUUAUUAAUUUUUAAUUUUAAAUAUAGUAAUUGAAAGAUUAAUACUUACAAAUUUUAGUGCCAGCAGUUGCGGUUAUUCUAAUAGUAUAAUUUUAAUUUUAUUGGUUAGGUAUUAUUAUUGAAUAAAAUUUGUUUUAAAGUUAAUAUUUUAGGUGAAAUUUAAUAUUAACAUAAGAUAAUGGUUUAUUAAAUAUUAAAUUAAUGAUUAAACUAGGAUUAGAUACCCUAUUAUAAUUUUUGUAAAUUUUAUAACCUUAAUAUUACUAGUUAUGUUCUAUAAAGUAAAAAAAUUUGGCGGUAAUUAUUAAUUGUUUAGAGGAACCUGUUGUUUAAAUUGAUAAACCACGAGUAUAUGUUACCUUAAUUAUUUCUUAUAUACCUCUAUCAUUGAAUGUUUUUUAAGAAUUUAUUUUCUCUAAUUAUUUAAAUACAAAAUGUUAGGUCAAGGUUUAGUUUAUUAAGGCAUUAAAUGGGUUACAUUAAUUUUAAUUAUGGAUUUAAAAAUUUAAGUUUUUAAUAAAAUUGGAUUUAAUUGUAAAAGUAAUUAUAUAAUUACUUUGGAAAUUAUUAUGGUUAUGUACAUAUCGCCCGUCAUUCUCAUAUAAUGGGACAAGUCGUAACAAAGUAGGAUUACUGGAAAGUGACCCUGGUUAGUU
rnacentral:ncRNA from 1 species